AACAACAUCAAACUGAUUCUAGUGAUUCUAGUGAUUGAUUGUCUUUAACUCAAGCAGCACCUAUUGUUUUCUCUGAACUACAUCUUCAAACAAUGGAGGACUAACCAGCAUGCAUGAGUCAUCUUCAAUAGCUUCAACGGAAGUUUCUAAGCAGAACAAUGAUUGGAGGCCUCACCUUACUGAACGAAGGAGC